rnacentral:rRNA from 1 species
CCUACGGGAGGCAGCAGUGGGGAAUAUUGGACAAUGGGCGAAAGCCUGAUCCAGCCAUGCCGCGUGUGUGAAGAAGGCCUUCGGGUUGUAAAGCACUUUCAGUGGGGAAGAAAGCCUUGGGGCUAAUACCCUCGAGGAAGGACAUCACCCACAGAAGAAGCACCGGCUAACUCCGUGCCAGCAGCCGCGGUAAUACGGAGGGUGCGAGCGUUAAUCGGAAUUACUGGGCGUAAAGCGCGCGUAGGCGGUCUGAUAAGCCGGUUGUGAAAGCCCCGGGCGCAACCUGGGAACGGCAUCCGGAACUGUCAGGCUAGAGUGCAGGAGAGGAAGGUAGAAUUCCCGGUGUAGCGGUGAAAUGCGUAGAGAUCGGGAGGAAUACCAGUGGCGAAGGCGGCCUUCUGGACUGACACUGACGCUGAGGUGCGAAAGCGUGGGUAGCAAACAGGAUUAGAUACCCGAGUAGUC